rnacentral:rRNA from 1 species
AUUGAACGCUGGCGGCAUGCUUUACACAUGCAAGUCGAACGGUAACAGGCCGCAAGGUGCUGACGAGUGGCGAACGGGUGAGUAAUGCAUCGGAACGUGCCCAGUCGUGGGGGAUAACGCAGCGAAAGCUGUGCUAAUACCGCAUACGAUCUAUGGAUGAAAGCGGGGGACCGUAAGGCCUCGCGCGAUUGGAGCGGCCGAUGUCAGAUUAGGUAGUUGGUGGGGUAAAGGCUCACCAAGCCAACGAUCUGUAGCUGGUCUGAGAGGACGACCUGCCACACUGGGACUGAGACACGGCCCAGACUCCUACGGGAGGCAGCAGUGGGGAAUUUUGGACAAUGGGCGCAAGCCUGAUCCAGCAAUGCCGCGUGCAGGAAGAAGGCCUUCGGGUUGUAAACUGCUUUUGUACGGAACGAAAAGGUUUGGGUUAUUACCCUGGGCCGAUGACGGUACCGUAAGAAUAAGCACCGGCUAACUACGUGCCAGCCGCCGCAGUAA